ACUGGGUCUAAAAGCCCAAACUGGGUUGGUUUAUGCUAGGCUAUUACAUUCUUUCUCCCUUAAAAAUAAUUUUAUCCUCAAAAUUAAUAUACCUAAAAUUUUGAAGAGCUGUGGAUACUUGACUUUCAUUUCUACUUCGAGUUCUUAUGUAGUUUCUCUUUCACUAUAGUUGCUCCAUUUUAUCUUCACAUAAGGUAUAGUUC
rnacentral:lncRNA from 1 species